GGGUCAGUAGGUUGGUCGUGCCACCGGUACGUACUGGUCUCACUGAUUCCUCCUUCCUGAAGAACCGUAAUGCCAUUAAUUUGGUGUUGCGGGGAAACAGGACUUUUACUUUGAAAAAAUUAGAGUGUUUAAAGCAAGCUAACGCUUGAAUACAUUAGCAUGGAAUAAUGAAAUAGGACGAUCGAUCCUAUUUUGUUGGUUUUUAGGAUUGACGUA
rnacentral:rRNA from 1 species